UCCUCUGACUGGUGUGAGGGCGGGACAACCUAACUAUCCAAUCAAUUCCUGAUUUUUUUUUUCUUCUUCCAGAAGCCGUUUCACUUCUGUCACAAAAGGAAGAAAGGAGUAUCUUAACUUCCGUUUGCUGACUUUUAUGGACGUGCUUCCAUUGCAUGCAGGCACAUUUUCAUUUAAUUAAUUCACAGCAUGAAAGUGUGAACAGCUGCUUUCUUUAUUCCUUCAAAUAAUCCAUAUGUCUAUAUAUUUCUUUUCCGCAUUCUUAAUUUACAUCUUAUAUGAGUGUUUUUUAUACAGUUUUCUUUUGACUCUCAUGUGAAAUCUAAUUAGCUUACAUUCUCGCAUGAUUUACUAAUAUUUCUGUUUCUUUGCUUCUUCACCUUAGUCGCAUUAUUUUUAGAAAGCAUGUGGGCUGUAAUUCAGUAUUUUUUCCCUUUGCAGUAGCGUUAUGUUCCCGCUCCACAUGGCCCACUUUCACUCUACUCUACUGUGACACUGUGUAUGGAGGAGCUGCUCGAUCCAGAUCUCCACUUAGUCCACCAGCGCUGAAUCCCUGGAAGAACUGACUGCCACUGAGUUAGAAAUGGAUGGACAUUGUGCAACAACAAUGUGAUACAUAUGGGAAAUGGUACUGUGUCUCUGUUUAUAUUAGAGCUGUCAAUCAAACGGGCUCAUCUGAACGGACAUGGAUAGGAUUCCUGCGGAAUUACCCAGGGCGAUCCAUCUUCCACAUAGGGAUCCAGUCCACAUCACACGGAUAGAUCAGAAGACAUCGUAGGCUGGCAAAAGAAGUGGAUAUAAUCAGCAUCUUCCCUCAAAAUAUCUCACAACUUGGAAGUUCACUUCAAAGAACAACGCAUGAAUUAAAUACACAUGAAGAUCAAAGCAAUGAGGAGACAGAAGUCUGCAGGUAUAAACCUGUCUGGUCCAGGGCAGCAUCUCCGAAUCCCUCUUUUUAUUAUUGCUCCCAGUGCAAGAGAGAGAUCAUCUGAGAUAGAUUUGGUGCCCUUUAAUAUCAGCAGCCAUGUAUCCCCAAAUUCCCUCCAGUCGCUUUAAUUCUGUUUGUCAUCUUUUGGUAGGUUCGUGGGAAAUAGGCCCAUUUCUCGGAAAGCAAAGGGAAUGGGCAGAGGUGAUGGAUGAGACAGAGACUGAAGGACUCAAAACAUUUCAGGUAAUGUGGUGUAUGUUUUAGGAGGACAGGUGAAAACACUCUCAAAGGUCUUAAAUGGAAAAGAAAGGAAUAUGAGACCGAUAUUAGGUUAUAGAGUAGAGUUUAGGUCUCACAGCUUUAUAAGCACAGAGGGUAACACUUUAUGUUAUGGUGACGAAAUUAAACAUUACUAUACUUAGUACUUUAUUUUACAGUCCUGUUUCUCAUGUGCAUACUAUCGUCACGGUAUUCAAAAUGAUUGUUUCCUUCUCGUCUCGUGUUUAUGUUGUGGUUUGAGUGCAUGCGCAACAGAAUUUUGUGAG